GAUGUAUUAGUAGCUCAAUUACACAGAGCACCGGCUUUGUAAUCCGGAGGCUGAAGGUUAAAAUCCUUCCUAAUACU
rnacentral:tRNA from 1 species